rnacentral:ncRNA from 1 species
AUUAAGCCAAUUAAAAAGCAAAGUAGUACAUAAUAAAAAUAUUUUACAGAGAAUUGAGCACAAGUUGAGAGCUCAAAAAUAAUCAUGUACGAAAUUUCACUUUUUAGGUUAUAUGCUGAAACAACAGUAGGCAUAUACGGUUGAACCGUUAAAACUAUAACAAGGUAUAUAAUAAAAUUAUAUAUAAAUUUAGGUGGUACCACGAAACUAUUCGUCCUAUUA